rnacentral:rRNA from 1 species
UGGGGAAUAUUGGACAAUGGGCGAAAGCCUGAUCCAGCCAUGCCGCGUGUGUGAAGAAGGUCUUCGGAUUGUAAAGCACUUUAAGUUGGGAGGAAGGGCAGUAAGCGAAUACCUUGCUGUUUUGACGUUACCGACAGAAUAAGCACCGGCUAACUCUGUGCCAGCAGCCGCGGUAAUACAGAGGGUGCAAGCGUUAAUCGGAAUUACUGGGCGUAAAGCGCGCGUAGGUGGUUCGUUAAGUUGAAUGUGAAAGCCCCGGGCUCAACCUGGGAACUGCAUCCAAAACUGGCGAGCUAGAGUAGGGCAGAGGGUGGUGGAAUUUCCUGUGUAGCGGUGAAAUGCGUAGAUAUAGGAAGGAACACCAGUGGCGAAGGCGACCACCUGGGCUCAUACUGACACUGAGGUGCGAAAGCGUGGGAAGCAAACAGG